rnacentral:rRNA from 1 species
GAUGAACGCUGGCGGCGUGCCUAAUACAUGCAAGUCGAGCGAACAGAUGAGGAGCUUGCUCCUCUGACGUUAGCGGCGGACGGGUGAGUAACACGUGGAUAACCUACCUAUAAGACUGGGAUAACUUCGGGAAACCGGAGCUAAUACCGGAUAAUAUAUUGAACCGCAUGGUUCAAUAGUGAAAGACGGUUUUGCUGUCACUUAUAGAUGGAUCCGCGCCGCAUUAUCUAGUUGGUAAGGUAACGGCUUACCAAGGCAACGAUGCGUAGCCGACCUGAGAGGGUGAUCGGCCACAUUGGAACUGAGACACGGUCCAGACGCCUACGGGAGGCAGCAGUAGGGAAUCUUCCGCAAUGGGCGAAAGCCUGACGGAGCAACGCCGCGUGAGUGAUGAAGGUCUUCGGAUCGUAAAACUCUGUUAUUAGGGAAGAACAAAUGUGUAAGUAACUAUGCACGUCUUGACGGUACCUAAUCAGAAAGCCACGGCUAACUACGUG